ensembl:lncRNA
GGCGCUCCUGUCCUCCGCAGGUGCUCGCUGUCCUCCAAUGGCACUCCACUUCUAUCCUCUGACAGCGCGCUAGUAACCUCCGCAGGUGUGCUUCCUCUAAUCUCCGCCGGCGCGUUGCAUCUAUACUCCGAUGGCGCUCCCGUCCGCCGCAGGUGCUCCCUGUUCUCUGCAGAUGCUCCCGUCCUCUGCAGGCGCUCGCUGUCCUCUGCUGGUGCUCCACAUCUAUCCUCCAAUGGCACACAACCUGUAACCUCCGCCAGGGUGCUACCUCUUAUCCUCUGCUGGCGCGCUACCUCUAUCUUCUGACGGUGCUCUGUCCUCGGCAGGCGCUCCCUAUUCUCCGCAGGUGCUCCCGUCCUCUACAGGUGCUUGCCGCCCUCAGCAGGUGCUCCACCUCUGUCUUCUGGAAGCGCGCUAUCUCUAAACUCCACUGACGCGCUACCUCUAUCGUCUGACGGUGCUCCCAUUCUCUGCAGACGUUCCCUGUUCUCCGCAGGUGCUCCCAUCCUCCGCAGAUGCUCCAUCACUAUCAUCCAAUGGCGCGCUACCUCUAUCUUCUGACAGUGCUCCUGUCAUCCGCCGGCACUCCCUGUUCUCCUCAGCUACUCCCAUCCUCCGCAAAUGCUCCACAUCUAUCCUCCGACGGCGCACUAUCUGUAACCUCCACCAGUGUCCUACCUCCUAUCUUCUGCUGGCGCUCUACCUCUAUCCACUGGCGGCACACUACGUCUAUCCGUUGCUGGUGUGUUACCACUAAACUCAGCCAGCGAGAUACCUCUAUCUUCUAACGGCGCUCCAGUCCUCCGCAGGUGCUUCCUGUUUUCCUCAGGUGCUCUCGUCCUCUGCAGGCACUCGCUGUCCUCCACAGGCACUCCACCUCUAUCAUCUGACAGAACACUACAUCCAACCUCGGCCGGUGCACUACAUCCAUCCUCCAAUGGCAAGCUACCUCUAACCUCCGCUGGCGUGCUACCUCAAUCUUCUGACGGUGCUCCCAUCCCCCACAGGUGCCGCACCUCUUUCCUCUGCUGGCGCACUUCCUCAAUCCUCUGCCGGUGCACUACCUCUACACUCUGAUGAUGUUCCCAUACUGUGCAGGCAAUCCCUGUUCUCCACAGGUGCUCCUGUCCUCUACAGGCGCUCACCGUCCUCUGGAGGCAAUCCACCUCAAUCUUCUGAAGGCAUGCUAUUGCAAAACCCAGCCAGCGAAUUACUUCUAUUUUCUUACGGUGCUCCCAUCGUCCGCAGGCGCUCCCUGUUCUACGCAGGUGCUCCCAUCCUCCGUAGAAACUCCACCUCUAUCAUCGGAUGGCGAAACAGAACCUCCACCUUGAUGCUCCGACAGCGCACUACCGGUAACCUCCGCCUGUGCACUAUCUUCUACCUCUAUCUUCCGAUCGCGCUCCUGUCAUUUGCAGGCACACCUUGUUCUCUGCAGGUGCUCCCGUACUCCGUAGAAACUCCACCUCUAUCAUCGGAUGGCGCACUACAUCUAACCUCUGCCAGCAAACAAACUCUGUUUUCUGACGGUGAUCCCAUCCUCUGCAAUCACUCCCUGUUCUCCACAGGUGCUCCUUUCAACCACUGACAUUCUACCUCUAUCCACGAACAGCACACUACCUCUAACCUCCGAUAGCGCGCUAACUCUUAUCCUCUGCCAGGAUGCUACUGCUAACCUCCGACGGCGCACGACCUCUAUCUUCAGAUGGUGCUCCCGUCAUCUGCAGGUGCUCCCUGUUUUCCGCAGGUGCUCCUGUCCUCGGCAGAUGCUCCACCUCUAUCCCGUGAUGGCACACUACAUAUAACCUCUGCCGGCGCACUAAUUCUGUCUUCUGACGGCGCUCCUGUCCUCCACAGUCACUCCCUGUUCACCACAGGUGCUCCCAUCCUCCGCAGACCCUCAACGUCGAUCCAGUGACAGAGCACUACCUCUAACCUCUGCCAGCAUGCUACCUCUUUCUUCUGACAGCGCACCCAUCAUCUGCAGGCGCUCCUUGUUCUCCACAGGUGCUCCUGUCCUCUGCAGAUGCUCCACCUUUAUCCUCUGAUGAUGCACUACAUCUAACCUCUGCCGGCGCACUAACUAUGCCUUCUGACAGUGCUCCCGUCCUCCAGAGGUGCUCCCUGUUCUCCGCAGGUGCUACGAUCCUCCGCAGACCCUCCACCUCGAUCCUCUGAUGGCACACUACCUCUAACCUCUGCCGGCGCACUACCUCUAUCUUCUAACCACGCUCCCAUCAUCUGCAAGCAGUCUCUGUUCUCCGCAGAUGCUCUCGUCCUCCGCAAACGCUCCAACUCGAUCCUCUGAUGAUGCACUACAUGUAACCUCUGCCGGCGCACUAACUCUGUCUUCUGAUGGUGCUCCUGUCCUUGGCAAUCGCUUCCUGUUCUCCGCAGGUGCUCCCAUCCUCCGCAGAAGUUCCAGCUCUAUCCUCUGAGAGUGCACUACCUCUAUCCUCUGCCGGGGCACUAACUAUGCAUUCUGACAGUGCUGCCAUCAUCUACAGAUGUUCUGUGUUCUCUGCAGGUAACCCCAUCAACCACAGGUGCUUUACAUCUAUCCUCUGAAGGCACACUACAUCUAACCUCUGCCGGCGCACUAACUAUGCCUGCUGACAGCACUCCUGUCCUCCGCAGGUGCUCCCUGUUCUCAUGAGGUACUCCGAUCCUCCGCAGACACUCCACCUUGAUCCUCUGAUGGCACACUACCUCUAACCUCUGCUGGCACAAUACCUAUAUCUUCUAACCACGCUCCCAUCAUCUGUAAGCAGUCUCUGUUCUCCACAGAUGGUCUUGUCCUCCGCAGACGCUCCAACUCGAUCCUCUGAUGAUGCACUACAUCUAACCUCUGCCGGCGCACUAUGUCUUCUGACAGCGCUCCUGUCCUCCGCAGGUGCUCCCUGUUCGCUGCAGGUGCUCCCAUCCUUCGCAGACCCUCCACCUCGAUCCUCUGAUGGCACAAUGCCUCUAACCUCUGCUGGCGCACUACCUCUAUCUCCUAACCACGCUCCCAUCAUCUGCAAGUGGUCUCUGUUCUCCGCAGAUGCUCUUGUCCUCCGCAGACGCUUCACGUAUAUCCUCUGAUGAUGCACUACCUCGAAACUCUGCCGGCGCACUACCUCUAUCUUCUGACAACGCUCCCGUCAUCUGCAGGCACUCCUUGAUCUCUGUAGGUGUUCCCGUCCUCUGCCAAUGCUCCACCUCAAUCCUCUGAUGAUGCACUACAUCUAACCUCUGCUGGCGCACUAACUAUGCAUUCCGACAGCCCUCCCAUCAUCUUCAGGUGUUCUAUGUCCUCCGCAGGUGCUCCUAUCCUCCGCAGAUGCUCCACCUCUAUCCUCUGAAGGCACACUGCAUCUAACCUCUGCCGGCGCACUAACUAUGCCUUCUAACAGCGCUCCCGUCCUCCACAGGUGCUCCCUGUUCUCCGCAGGUGCUCCUAUCCUCCACAGAUGCUCCACCUCUAUUUUCUGAAGGCACACUACAUCUAACCUCUGCCGGCGCACUAACUAUGCCUUCUAACAGCGCUCCCGUCCUCCACAGGUGCUCCCUGUUCUCCGCAGGUGCUCCGAUCCUCCGCAGACCCUCCACCUCGGUCCUCUGAUGGCACAAUACCUCUAACCUCUGCCGGCGCACUACCUCAAUCUUCUAACCACGCUCCCAUUAUAUGCAAGCCGUCUGUGUUCUCCGCAGAUGCUCUUGUCCUCUGCAGACGCUCCACAUCUAUCCUCAGACAGCGCACUACCUCUGACCUCUGCCGGCGCACUACCUCUAUCUUCUGACAAUACUCCUAACAUCUGCAGGCACUCCUUGACCUCCGCAGAUAAUCUUGUCCUCUGCAGACGCUCCACAUCUGUCCUCGGAUGAUGCACUACAUCUGACCUCUGCCAGCGCACUAACUCUGUCUUCUGAUGGUGCUCCUGUCCUUGGCAAUUGCUUCCUGUCCUCCGCAGAUGCUCCACUUAUAUCCUCUGAAGGCACACUGCAUCUAACCUCUGCCGGCGCACUAACUAAGCCUUCUGACAGCGCUCCCGUCCUCCGCACAUGCUCCCUGUUCUCCGCAGGUGCUCCCAUCCUUCGCAGACCCUCCACCUUGAUCCUCUGAUGGCACACUACCUCUAACCUCUGCUGGCACACUACCUCUAUCUCCUAACCACGCUCCCAUCAUCUGCAAGUGGUCUCUGUUCUCCGCAGAUGCUCUUGUCCUCCGCAGAUGCUCCAACUCGAUCCUCUGAUGAUGCACUACCUCCAAACUCUGCCGGCGCACUACCUCUAUCUUCUGACAACGCUCCCAUCAUCUGCCGGCGCUCUGUGCUCUCUGCAGUUGCUCCCGUCCUCCGCAGAUGCUCCAUCUAUAUCCUCUGAAGGCACACUACAUCUAACCUCUGCCGGCGCACUAACUAUGUCUUCUGACAGCACUCCUGUCCUCCGCAGGUGCUCCCUGUUCUCCUCAGGUACAUCAAUCCUCCCCAGACGCUCCACCUCGAUCCUCUGAUGGCACACUACCUCUAACCUCUGCCGGCGCACUACCUCUAUCUUCUAACCACGCUCCCAUCAUCUGCAAGCGGUCUCUGUUCUCCGCGGAUGCUCUUGUCAUCUGCAGACGCUCCAACUCGAUCCUCUGAAGGCACACUACCUCUAACCUCUGCCGGCGCACUAACUCUGUCUUCUGAUGGUGCUCCUGUCCUUGGCAAUCGCUUCCUGUUCUCCGCAGGUGCUCCUAUCCUCCGCAGAUGCUCCACCUAUAUCCUCUGAAGGCACACUACAUCUAACCUCUGCCGGUGCACUAACUAUGUCUUCUAACAGCGCUCCUGUCCUCCACAGGUGCUCCCUGUUCGCUGCAGGUGCUCCCAUCCUUCGCAGACCCUCCACCUCGAUCCUCUGAUGGCACAAUGCCUCUAACCUCUGCUGGCGCACUACCUCUAUCUCCUAACCACGCUCCCAUCAUCUGCAAGCGGUCUCUGUUCUCCGCAGAUGCUCUUGUCCUCCGCAGACGCUCCAACUCGAUCCUCUGAUGAUGCCCUACAUCUAACCUCUGCCCGCGAACUAACUAUGCCUUCUAACAGCGCUCCCGUCCUCCACAGGUGCUCCCUGUUCUCCGCAGGUGCUCCGAUCCUCCGCAGACCCUCCGCCUCGAUCCUCUGAUGGCACAAUACCUCUAACCUCUGCCGGCGCACUACCUCAAUCUUCUAACCACGCUCCCAUUAUCUGCAAGCCGUCUGUGUUCUCCGCAGAUGCUCUUGUCCUCUGCAGACGCUCCACAUCUAUCCUCAGACAGCGCACUACAUCUGACCUCUGCUGGCGCACUACCUCUAUCUUCUGACAAUACUCCCAACAUCUGCAGGCACUCCUUGACCUCCGCAGAUGCUCUUGUCCCCUGCAGACGCUCCACAUCUGUCCUCGGAUGAUGCACUACAUCUAACCUCUGCCAGCGCACUAACUCUGUCUUCUGAUGCUGCUCCUGUCCUUGGCAAUUGCUUCCUGUUCUCCGCAGGUGCUCCUAUCCUCCGCAGAUGCUCCACCUCUGUCCUCUGAAGGCACACUACAUCUAACCUCUGCCGGCGCACUAACUAUGCCUUCUGACAGCGCUCCCGUCCUCCGCACGUGCUCCCUGUUCUCCGCAGGUGCUCCGAUCCUCCGCAGAUAAUCCACCUUGAUCCUCUGAUGGCACAUUACCUCUAACCUCUGCCGGCGCACUACCUCUAUCUUCUAACCACGCUCCCAUCAUCUGCAAGCGG